rnacentral:rRNA from 1 species
AUACGUAGGUGACAAGCGUUAUCCGGAUUUACUGGGCGUAAAGGGCGUGUAGGCGGUCUUGCAAGUCAGAAGUGAAAUUCCUGAGCUCAACUCGGGCGCUGCUUCUGAAACUGCAGGACUUGAGUGCUGGAGGGGAUAGCGGAAUUCCUAGUGGAGCGGUAAAAUGCGCAGAUAUUAGGAAGAACACCGGUGGCGAAGGCGCUUAUCUGGACAUCAACGGACGCUGAGGCGCGAAAGCGUGGGGAGCAAACAGGAUUAGAUGCCCUGGUAGUCCACGCCGUAAACGAUGAAUACUAGGUGUAGGGGGUAUCGACUCCCGCUGUGCCGCAGUUAACACAAUAAGUAUUCCGCCUGGGGAGUACGGCCGCAAGGUUGAAACUCAAAUGAAUUGACGGGG